UGUCUGAAAGUUGAGCGGUUAAACAAAAUGGCCGACGAGCAAGCGACGAAUCACAUAGUUUUUACCUUUGAGAAGCAACCGAACCACCAGACGUACAAAUUAAACUCGCUGGUCGAGGAGAACAGUCUUGUUCGCCAGGUGGUGCAGAUGAAACUUGGCGACGUGCUUGCGCAGACUUUCGGCGUUCUUGUAAUACUGCGCGCACAUUUUGCACGCAAACGGGCCCGCGGCGUCGCCAUGGAUGUUCUUCUCGUGCGUCUUGAGGUGAUCGCGCCGUGUGAAUGCCCGCCCGCAUUGCUUGCACUUGAAUUUUUGGCUCGGCCCUAACACACCACCUAUAUAACCUAUUUUCAAACAAUUCCAUUUGUUCGAUACAUCGAAUACAACUCACAAGUCGUGCCAAAACGCCAUUCGCAUGUUCAUUUGUUGCAUUUUUAUUAUUAUUAUCAAGCAGAGCUGAUUUUGGUUAAUAUUGCUGUAUAUUAAUGUUUAGUACCUUGCCAGUCCUGUUUGUUAUGUCAAGCCAUGAAAUAAAAUGCAAGCCAACUAUCAAUCAUGCGUUUAAGAUUUUUCAAAGUUUAUUCGCAAAUGGAACGAAAAUCUUACCUUGUUCUUGUCCAGCAAUCUCACUAUUGUUUGAGUUGUUCAUGAAUCCAACACCUGAGUCAUUAUUCUGCUUAAACUCCAUGGACAAAUCGUCGCCUUCGUAGUCGUUGCUCCUGGCUACAGGCGACUCGGAAUAGCGCGGUUCGUCUGUGUCAUCUUUGGCCGCCUGUUUUUGGUUUAGAUUACUUAGCUCCUCCACGGCGUUGCGCACCUUCUUCGCGUUCGAGUUCUGCACAUGCUUUGAGCGUUUGUUCGGACUGCUGUUGGUUACCGGCAUUUGCACAAUAUUCUCUUCGUAAUCGUCGUAUGCUUCGUGCAAAUCACUUUGAUCAUCCUCCAUCUUAAUGUUGCUAUUGCUAUUGCUACCAGAUGACUUUGAACUAUUACUUUGCUGUAAAAUACAAUAACUUUCAGUCUCAUAAAGCAGAUUUUUAAAUAAUUACUCACAGUAUCAUCACAACUGAGUCCUUUUACUUGCAGAAGCUCUGCAGUCCUUAGGAAAACUGGCAGAUUCUCCCUCAAGACAUUCACUUCCCCCAAAUACAUGAACUCAAGAAUAUCUUUGAGAUUUUUAUGUGUUACAUCCUUCAAUAUAAUGAUUGGAUGCUUGCAUGGGUUCUGCUUGAACAUCUCCUUGAAAUAUGGACUGCAUAUAGACAGCACCAGUUUGUGUGCAUGCAGGAAUUGACCCUCAACAGCCAAAGUCACAUCCACCAAGUCAGCUGCUUCGAGUAAGUCAUGGAAACCUGAUGCAAUGUUUGAGUGAAAGUUGUUCCAUCGAAGGGAGAAUUGUUCUGUGGUAGCCAUGAUUUCUAAACUACAACCUCAAAUUGUACUAAAGUAGACUUAAAUAGGAAAUAACCUAUAAUAUUUAACAUCGAUUUUAUUGAAUUUGGGCCUCACCUUCGUCUUCUUCGCUGUAUUUUCGUCGGUUCCAGCCGCUAGCGCAACAUACGUUCCAUCUGCAGCUCCAAAAUUCGUUGCUAAUCUCUUUCGGACAUCCGGAUGUACUACUAUUGUGCGCACUUCGACUUAACUCGCGAAGGGUCUUCCACAGACUUAAAUUAAGCAGCUCUUCUUCUGCGAAUUCGAUGUGCUGGAAUUCCGUGUGGUGUUGACGUGCACUGAAAGUACUGGUGCUGGCCUCUUGCCACUGCCACAACACUCUUGCACUGAAAGCAGAAUUUUUCUGAAAGAGAAAGGUGCAAACGUAAACGUAAACACAUUUAACACAUAAGCAAAUGCAGCGGCACAGAGCGCCAAAUUCGAACUUAAGCCAGGUAACAUAAACGUACAGCAUAAAACAUCAAAAGUGACUUAAGACUAGUUGAAAGUUAAUUAAAUGUUAAUACAAUGAAAACAACAAGUCGUCCGUGAUUGUCUGCGCGGAAAUAACGAAAAUAAUUUAAACAAUUCGUAUUAUUCGCAAAUACAACAUUCAUAAACAAUUAGUUUGUGUGUUUGAACCAUAGGGUACAAUAUUUUACAAAGUUUCAUAAUCAAAAAUUGCAGAAAAAUGGUUGCCAUACGCCGCCAUCAUUUAAAACAGUAAUAUUUACUUCUGUGAUUGUCUUAAUUGUUGAAUAAUCAUUAAAUUAGCAUGCUUUACAUCGUAUUAGCAUUAAUUUGAGCACUGACUAUAUGAAUGAGUGUAAAUAUGUACUAAAUAAUGCUUUCUUGUAUCUUGAUGAUAAAAUUGAUGAUGUGACUCAUUAAA